rnacentral:rRNA from 1 species
UACGUAGGGACCGAGCGUUGUCCGGAUUCAUUGGGCGUAAAGAGCUCGUAGGCGGCCACUCAAGUCGAAUGUGAAACCUCGAGGCUCAACCUCGAGCCUGCAUUCGAUACUGGGCGGCUAGAGUCUGGUAGGGGGAUCUGGAAUUCCUGGUGUAGCGGUGGAAUGCGUAGAGAUCCGGAAGAACACCGGUGGCGAAGGCGGUUAGCUGGGCAGUUGCUGACACUGAGGCGCGACAGCGUGGGGAGCAAACAGG